CGGACAAACACGUCCGUAGGGAUGUGGCCGAAAGGCUGAACCAUAAA
ncrna:unclassified sequences eL15-Euryarchaeota ribosomal protein leader